GAGAGAGACAGAGAGAGAGAGAGAGAGAGAGAGAGAGAGAGCGGACGAGGGAGGACCACAGAGGUCAGUAGUGGAAAUCUGUUGAGGUGGUCUAACUCCUGGUGUGUGGAGUCCUGGUCAGGACACAUCCCCUGUUGGCAGGAAUUCAACCUCUCCAGCCAAAAGAGAGGGAGGUAGCCCCAAAAUAAAUCCUGCCCCAACCUAACCCAGCAGUACAUACCUCCAGGUCAGUCCCCAGUUUAACCCAGCAGUACAUAUCUCCAGGUCAGGCCACAGUUUAACCCAACAGUACAUACCUCCAGGUCAGUCCCCAGUUUAACCCAGCAGUACAGACCUCCAGGUCAGUCCCCAGCCUAACCCAGCAGUACAUACCUCCAGGUCAGUCCCCAGUUUAACCCAGCAGUACAUAUCUCCAGGUCAGGCCACAGUUUAACCCAACAGUACAUACCUCCAGGUCAGUCCCCAGUUUAACCCAGCAGUACAGACCUCCAGGUCAGUCCCCAGCCUAACCCAGCAGUACAUACCUCCAGGUCAGUCCCCAGUUUAACCCAGCAGUACAUACCUCCAGGUCAGUCCCCAGUUUAACCCAGCAGUACAUACCUCCAGGUCAGUCCCCAGUUUAACCCAGCAGCACAUACCUCCAGGUCAGUCCCCAGUUUAACCCAGCAGUACAUACCUCCAGGUCAGUCCCCAGUUUAACCCAGCAGUACAUACCUCCAGGUCAGCCCCCAGUUUAACGCACCAGCAGUACAUACCUCCAGGUCAGUCCCCAGUUUAACCCAGCAGUACAUACGUCCAGGUCAGUUUAACCCAGCAGUACAUACCUCCAGGUCAGCCCCCAGUUUAACCCAGCAGUACAUACCUCCAGGUCAGUCCCCAGUUUAACCCAGCAGUGCAUACCUCCAGGUCAGUCCCCAGUUUAACCCAGCAGUACAUACCUCCAGGUCAGUCCCCAGUUUAACCCAGCAGUACAUACCUCCAGGUCAGUCCCCAGUUUAACCCAGCAGUACAUACCUCCAGGUCAGUCCCCAGUUUAACCCAGCAGUACAUACCUCCAGGUCAGUGAAGGGAAAUCUUAACGCUACAGCAUACAAUGACAUUCUAGACAAUUCUGUGCUUCCAACUUUGUGGCAACAGUUUGGGGGAAGGCCCUUUCCUGUACAGGAUGACAAUGCCCCCAGUGC
rnacentral:lncRNA from 1 species